rnacentral:lncRNA from 1 species
CCGCGCCCUGGUGACAGCUCGCGCGUGCUGAUGAUGGCGGAGUGAUGCAGACUGCAAUGUCUGGGGGCCGCUGAGAGGUUCAGCAGGGAAGGGCGCUGGCCGCCAGCCCACCCACCUGAUUCACUCCUUGGAACCCACAUGAGUCCUCAUCUAGUGGCUGAUGGAAGCAGAGACUGACAUCCACAGAUAUAUACUGAGCUGAAAUCGGGAAUUUAGUUGAAGAGAGGGAGGAAUGAAGAGAGAAGGGAUCUGUACCAGGUUGGAGAAACCCACAGGAACAAUUGGCCUGAAAAAGGGAGAGCACAUCGACCCCAGAUGCUGUUGGGGAGGCCAGUACCAGACUGAUCCAGACCCCUGAACAUGGAUGUCAAUAAGGAGGCCUCUGCACUCCAGGGAGCCUCUGGUGGUGGUGGAUUAGUAUUUUUCCCUGGUGCAAUAAGGGACUUUGAGAGCCCAUCCCACCUGAAGGGUUACACUCUGGACCUGGACACAUGGGGAAGGGACCAGGACCAGCACAGGAAGAUUUGGUGGGCUUUUGCAGAGCCCCCCAUUGAGGGCCCUACCCUGCCUGGGGAGUGGUGUGUGGAUGGG